rnacentral:misc_RNA from 1 species
GAAAUGCGAUAAGUAGUGUGAAUUGCAGAAUUCAGUGAAUUAUCGAAUCUUUGAACGCACAUUGCGCCCUUUGGUAUUCCAAAGGGCAUGCCUGUUCGAGCGUCAUUUGUACCCUCAAGCUUUGCUUUGUGUUGGGCGUCUUGUCUCUAGCUUUGCUGGAGACUCGCCUUAAAGUAAUUGGCAGCCGGCCUACUGGUUUCGGAGCGCAGCACAAGUCGCACUCUCUAUCAGCAAAGGUCUAGCAUCCAUUAAGCCUUUUUUCAACUUUUGACCUCGGAUCAGGUAGGGAUACCCGCUGAACUUAAGC